rnacentral:rRNA from 1 species
AUUCCAGCUCCAAUAGCGUAUAUUAAAGUUGUUGCAGUUAAAAAGCUCGUAGUUGGAUUUGUGGUGCCGCCUGCAGUCCAAUUAGCUUUGGUGCUAGCGGGUGGUGCCAUCUUUGGGUGGAACCUGUAGAGCAUUAGCUUGUUUUGCAGGGGAGAUUCAUCGUUUACUGUGAAAAAAUUAGAGUGUUCAAAGCAGGCUUAGGCCGUUGAAUAUACUAGCAUGGAAUAAUGAAAUAGGACUUUGGUACUAUUUUGUUGGUUUGCGCGCCAAAGUAAUGAUUAAUAGGGACAGUUGGGGGUAUUCGUAUUCCAUAGUCAGAGGUGAAAUUCUUGGAUUUUUGGAAGACGAACUACUGCGAAAGCAUUUACCAAGGAUGUU